rnacentral:rRNA from 1 species
UACGAAGGGGGCUAGCGUUGUUCGGAAUCACUGGGCGUAAAGCGCACGCAGGCGGAUCGUUAAGUCAGGGGUGAAAUCCCGAGGCUCAACCUCGGAACUGCCUUUGAUACUGGCGAUCUUUGAGUCCGGGAGAGGUGAGUGGAACUCCGAGUGUAGAGGUGAAAUUCGUAGAUAUUGGGAAGAACACCGGUGGCGAAGGCGGCGACCUGGUCCGAUACUGACGCUGAGGCGCGAAAGCGUGGGGAGCAAACAGG